GGCAUUGUUUCGCUGUUGCCUCCGUGAAAACCAGGCGGGGCUUAAGCGCAAGGCCUGGCUCCGGGGCCCAAGAGGGCGCUAAAGAUCACGGAGAUUCGAGCCGACGGUCCCAACUACCGGUUAUGUGGAAGAAGCAAAUGAGACCUUAUUCUUUGUGCAGGUUUUUUAUUUUCUUUAAGCCGUGGCUGCACACCCAAGUCCCAGUAUCCUGUGACUCCUAGAAGCCGGGAUAACGUUGGCAACUGAGGGAGGAGCAGCUCAAAGAGGUUCCUGUCCCUAGCCCUGCUGUGGGCACCAGGCUCUGAGGGGGGGACAUAGGUUCAAUCCCUGGUCCAGGAAGAUUCCACAUGUCUUGGAGCUAGAGCCAGAGCUCUAGAACCCCAGAACUGCAACUACAGAAACCUGUGCACCUAGAGCCUUUGCUCUGCAACAAGAGAAGCCAAGCAACGAGAAGACCGUGCACCCCAAGGAAGAGUAGCCCCCACUCACAACUAGAGAAAGCCUGAAUGCAGCAACGAAGACCCAGUGCAACCAAAGAAUUAAAAAAUAACAAAAUU